rnacentral:RNase_P_RNA from 1 species
AUAUCUGGGCAAAUGCUGCAUAAAUUAUAUGUAGAGGAAAGUCCAUGCUCGCACAGUCUGAGAUGACUGUAGUGUUUGUGCUUAGGGAAAAAAUAACCUAAGGUAGAGAAAUCUAACGGCUCCGAGAUAACCUUAAAUGGUUAUAGUAGGUAUAAAAGUGCCAAAGAGACGAGUUAACUUGGAAACGAGUUAGGUGGAACGUGGUAAACCCCGCAAGCGAGAAACCCAAAUUUGGUAGGGGAGCUUUACAAAGGAAAAUGAACCAAUGUAGGGAUCAAUUAUGAUAGAUAAAUAUUUGCCGCUCAUUUGUGAGUACAGAACAUGGCUUAUAAGA